rnacentral:tRNA from 1 species
GCCAGCGUAGUAUAGUGGUUUGAGCAUUGGACUAGGACUCUGGAGACCAGGGUUCGAUUCCCAGCUGGGCC